rnacentral:rRNA from 1 species
UAGGGAAUUCCUUCGGCAAAUGGGGGCAACCCUGACCGAGCAACGCCGCGUGAGUGAAGAAGGUUUUCGGAUCGUAAAGCUCUGUUGUAAGUCAAGAACGAGUGUGAGAGUGGAAAGUUCACACUGUGACGGUAGCUUACCAGAAAGGGACGGCUAACUACGUGCCAGCAGCCGCGGUAAUACGUAGGUCCCGAGCGUUGUCCGGAUUUAUUGGGCGUAAAGCGAGCGCAGGCGGUUUGAUAAGUCUGAAGUUAAAGGCUGUGGCUCAACCAUAGUUCGCUUUGGAAACUGUCAAACUUGAGUGCAGAAGGGGAGCAAAGGGAUACUUUUUUNGCGGGGAAAUGCGUAAAAUAUAUGGAGGAAACACCGGGGGGCAAAAGCGGCUCUCUGGUCUGUAACUGACGCUGAGGCUCAAAAGCGUGGGGAGAAACAGGAUUAUAUACCCUGGUAUUCCCCCCGUAACGAUGAGUGCUAGGUGUUGGAUCCUUUCCGGGAUUCAGUGCCGCAGCUAACGCAUUAACACUCCGCCUGGNGAAUACAACCGCAGGGUUGA